AUCUCUUCUCAGCCUUUUGGCUAAGAUCAAGAGUUGUGUCUGUUCUUAACAAAUAAAUAAAUAAAUCUGUUUUAAAGAUUGCUACCCAGA
ensembl:snRNA U2 U2 spliceosomal RNA